rnacentral:rRNA from 1 species
CCCUAGUAACUGCGAGUGAAGCGGGAAGAGCUCAAAUUUAAAAUCGGGCGGCCGGGAGGCCUUCCCGAGUUGUAGUCUGGAGAAGCGCUUUCGGCGCCGGACCGUGUACAAGUCCCCUGGAACGGGGCGUCGUAGAGGGUGAGAAUCCCGUCUCUGACACGGACGCCCGGUGCCCUGUGAUGCGCUCUCGAAGAGUCGAGUUGUUUGGGAAUGCAGCUCAAAAUGGGUGGUAAAUUCCAUCUAAAGCUAAAUAUUGGCGAGAGACCGAUAGCGAACAAGUACCGUGAGGGAAAGAUGAAAAGCACUUUGAAAAGAGAGUUAAACAGUACGUGAAAUUGCUGAAAGGGAAACGCUUGAAGCCAGUCGCGUCGUCCGGGACUCAGCCUUGCCAGGCGCACUUCCCGGUCGACGGGCCAGCAUCGAUUUUGACCGUCGGAGGAGGGCGGGAGGAACGUGGCACCCUCGGGUGUGUUAUAGCCUCCCGUCGGACGCGACGGUCGGGAUCGAGGAACUCGGCACGCCUUCACGGUCGGGGCUUCGGCCCACGCAUCGUGCCCAGGAUGCUGGCGAA